CCACUUUGGACAGGACAUUUUGGAGAAGGAGGUGCCCUCACUGGCUUUGACUUCCCUGGUCCCUGAGCAGAGGACAAGCUCCAUUCCUUCAAGAUGCUGAUGGUAGGUAACGACAGCUGCUGGGCCAGUCAGGUGCUGUGCCAUCCUGCUCCUGAGUAUCACCAUGACACAUCCAUGUGCACCCACUUUACAGAUGGGAGCCUGAAGGCUCAGAGACUUCAGAGUCUUGCCUAAGAGGGCAGAGGCAAGGCUUGAAGCCAGGUCCCCAGGGAACACCCUCUUCCCAACAUGGCCAGGCCCCUCUUCAGAUCCAACAAUGAGGCCAGCUGCAUGGUGUGCCAUGUAACAGACCAGCAGCUAAUGUCACUGGGGGGUGGGCUUCCACCUCUAGUCCUGCCCCGGCUGCCCUCUGCCCUCGACCACCAUGCAGCUUCUCUGGUCACCUGAUCCCUGGCUCUCUGUUGUCUCCCUCACUCGAAGAAGUACAGGAGAAAAGACUCGGAGGCCCCUCCAGAACUUUCAGAGAAGGUCAAGGAGCAGCUGGCCGAGGCAGAGCUCUGCAAGCUCAGGCAGCAGCUCCGGAAGAUGGUGGAGAGCCAGAAGUCCUUCAACUUCCUCAGCCAGCAGAAGAUUACCAGCCAGUGCAAGGAAAUCCAGACUCUGAAAGCAGAGCAAGAAGAGAUCACCCUGCUUCUGAAUCUCAUGAAGUCCCCCAAGAACCUGGAUCUGAAUCAGAAAAACUACCUGGAGCUGCACUUCCUAAUACAGGCCAAGGAGGACUAUGAGGUGCUGAUCAAGUCCAUGCAGGCACUGCUGGCCGAGAUGGAUGAAAAGGUGUGGCCUCCUCAAAGGAGCUCAGCUCAGCUCAGGGCAAGGGGAGCAGGGGAUACCAUGAUGCCUCACGUGGACCUGACACUGCCUGCUGUGACUUCCCCAGGGGGAUCUCUAAAUGCCACUGGCCGUGGUCCCCACUGCCUGUGUGCCCUCAGGGCUCCCCUAAAGCUCCAGUACAACUGGAGCCUAUCCACACAUCCCUAGCACAGCGGGGGCACGGGGAGGUUUUAUGCUGGCAGCAGCGCCACCCUGAUGAGCUAGGAGGACAGAGAGCCCUGGAUGGUCUCACCCUGGCCACUGAGCCCAUGAAUUGCUUCUGCUUGUUACUCUGUGGCUCAAAACAGACCUGUGACUUCCCUGCCUACGGAGGGGCUCAAGCAGCAAAACCUUCCCAUGUGGACCCAAAGGCAAAGAGCUAAGGGUUAGUAGGUAGGUUAACAAUGGUGCCCUGGACUACGCUUGAAAGGCCCUGAAGGAUCUGCCCCUGAAUUUUUCCUUGGCUGCAGACUCCAGAAAUUUCCAGGGGCUGGGGAUUUAGCUCAGUGGUUCCACUGCCUGCCUCGAAAGCGCAAGGACCCGAGUUCAAUCCCUGGUAUCAAAAAAAAAAAGAAAAAAAAAAGAAAGGAAUUUCCUGCUGCCCUUGUGGCAGAGGCCAAACUCCCUAGUGGGGAUGCCUGGCCCAGCUGCACGGGGCUCUCCUGCCUCUCCAGUCCUUUCUGCCUCCACAUCCCACCCACUCGUGUUCUUCCUUCUGCCAGCCAUGUGCCUCCCCCUCCUUGACCUCUCUGCUUGACAAACUCCUAUUCAUCUGCUAGAUCCCAGCUCAAAUGCUAUUGCACUCCCGGGAGGUGCCCCACAUACCUUGUCUGUCCCUUUCCAGAGGGUCAUCACCCUCCAUGGCUUGUUCCGGUACUAGAUUACAAGUUCUCUGAGUGCAGGGACCUCAGGGUAUCUUGGUUACUAUCAUAGGCCUGCUGUCUGGCACAGAGCAAGUGGUCAGUACACAUGAAUGAAUGAAUGGGAAAGGAGGCCAUAGCAGUGAAGAGGAAAAUUGUAAAAGGAAGGGGACCUGGGUCUUUAGAAGCAUUAGGAAAAGGCAGCUUAGUUUGGGAUCCUCCACAGGUCAUGGUGUCCCCUUCCGAAGCAGGGUGCCACAUGCCCCCUCCCCAGGUUGGCAGUGUCCAGAACUGCAUUUCUUUGGCCCAACACACAAUAGCAGAGCCUCGUCCUUGCAGGAUGUCCCUGAAAGGGGGGGACCUCAUUUGGCCCUGCCUGGCCUCUGGGAACAUUAUCAGCCAAUGGGAAGGUGGCAUCUUGCUUGGGGGCUGUACUUCUCCUGCAGCCGUGGUCUGGGAUAGUGGCUCCCAUUGGCCUCCAGCCUGACUCUCAGCAUGGAGGGGAGGAACUGUGAGCUACACAGGACCCCUGGGGACAUGCUCUGCAGGGGGCAGAGGCUCCUGGGCUCUGGGAUUCCCUCUAGGGUGGAGGGGAACAUCCCUGCAGGGAAGCUGAUGUCACAGUCUCCACAUGUCAAAGCUCACUUGUAGAUAUUAAAAUGAGUGAAUGAAGACUUUUUUUUUUCAGUUCUAGGAUUGAACUUCACAUUGAGCUAUACUCCCAGCCCUUCUCAUUUUUUAUUUUGAGACAAGGUCUCAUUAAAUCACUAAACUGCCCAGGCUGGGCUCCUUUUGAUCCUCCUGCCUCAGCCACCCAGAGUGCUGGGAUUACACCCUGCUAUUUUGUCAUUUUAUUU
rnacentral:lncRNA from 1 species